rnacentral:rRNA from 1 species
GGAUUAGAUACCCUGGUAGUCCACGCCGUAAACGAUGAGAACUAGCCGUUGGGACCUUUAUUGGUUUUAGUGGCGUAGCUAACGCGCUAAGUUCUCCGCCUGGGGAGUACGGCCGCAAGGUUAAAACUCAAAUGAAUUGACGGGGGCCCGCACAAGCGGUGGAGCAUGUGGUUUAAUUCGAAGCAACGCGAAGAACCUUACCUGGCCUUGACAUCCUGCGAACUUGGUAGAGAUACCUUGGUGCCUUCGGGAACGCAGAGACAGGUGCUGCAUGGCUGUCGUCAGCUCGUGCCG